ACCCGCUGAACUUAAGCAUAUCAAUAAGCGGAGGAAGAGAAACCAACAGGGAUUGCCCUAGUAACGGCGAGUGAAGCGGCAACAGCUCAAAUUUGAAAUCUGGCGUCUUUGGCGUCCGAGUUGUAAUUUGCAGAGGGCGCUUUGGCAUUGGCAGCGGUCCAAGUUCCUUGGAACAGGACGUCACAGAGGGUGAGAAUCCCGUACGUGGUCGCUAGCCUUUACCGUGUAAAGCCCCUUCGACGAGUCGAGUUGUUUGGGAAUGCAGCUCUAAAUGGGAGGUAAAUUUCUUCUAAAGCUAAAUACUGGCCAGAGACCGAUAGCGCACAAGUAGAGUGAUCGAAAGAUGAAAAGCACUUUGGAAAGAGAGUUAAAAAGCACGUGAAAUUGUUGAAAGGGAAGCGCUUGCAGCCAGACUUGCCUGUAGUUGCUCAUCCGGGUUUUUACCCGGUGCACUCUUCUAUAGGCAGGCCAGCAUCAGUUUGGGCGGUUGGAUAAAGGUCUCUGUCAUGUACCUCUCUUCGGGGAGAACUUAUAGGGGAGACGACAUGCAACCAGCCCGGACUGAGGUCCGCGCAUCUGCUAGGAUGCUGGCGUAAUGGCUGU
rnacentral:rRNA from 1 species